AUUGAACGCUGGCGGCAGGCCUAACACAUGCAAGUCGAGCGGAUGAAGGGAGCUUGCUCCUGGAUUCAGCGGCGGACGGGUGAGUAAUGCCUAGGAAUCUGCCUGGUAGUGGGGGAUAACGUCCGGAAACGGGCGCUAAUACCGCAUACGUCCUGAGGGAGAAAGUGGGGGAUCUUCGGACCUCACGCUAUCAGAUGAGCCUAGGUCGGAUUAGCUAGUUGGUGGGGUAAAGGCCUACCAAGGCGACGAUCCGUAACUGGUCUGAGAGGAUGAUCAGUCAACCUGGACUUGGGAACGGGCCAAAAUCCCAAGGGGGGGAGGAGUUGGGAAUUUUUGGGAAAGGGGGAAAGGCGUAAGCCACCCAGGCGCGGGGUGUAAAAAGGGUCUCGGAUUUUAAAAGCAUUUUAAGUUGGGGGGAGGGGCAGGAAGUUAAGACCUUGCUUUUUUAACUUUCCCAAAAAAAAAAGCACCGGCUAAUUCCGG
rnacentral:rRNA from 1 species